rnacentral:precursor_RNA from 1 species
UUAGAUCCAGAGGAAUUCAAUAAACUAUUAAAAUCUUAGUUAUUAACUAUAUAUAUCUAGUCAAAGUCGAUAUGAAUUGAAUCUAGAAAAUAAUAGAAUUUCAAAUCAAUCAAAUCAAUAUUAUAGAACACAACGAUUAAUAGAGCGAUAUCGAAUUUCGAUUUAUUUAUCACUAAUACAAUUCGAAUAUUAUUAAAUCUGAUAUAUCUUUUAUUAUUUUUGUUUUUGUUUUGAGUUUUAUUAUUAUUUGAGUUUUAGAUAAUUAAAGUUUUCCUUUUUGAAUUCAAAUGACUUUUGAACUUCUUUUGAUUGUAUUAUUUUAUUGGAUUCUAUAUCAUAUAUUUUGAAUUACGAAUGGUUAGUUAGUUAGAACUAAUGAGACAUUACCCACUUUCAGUCAUAAAGAGGUAAGUAGGAAAAGCGGAAAUUAAGACGACAAAAAGAGAAUCGACCCUUCAAGUAUUAAAAAUUACGUCAAAAAUCUGACAGGUAGAUAUAUAUACCUAGGAUAUAUAUCCAUCUAUAUUGAAUUGCAGAUACAGAAAUGGUACAAUCAUGGUCGAUUGGACCAAAUCCAAAUAGGGUUCUCCUAUAGUCCUAUAGAAAAAUGGUAAGAAUAAGAAGAAGGUAGGAAAAGAAAACAUUUUUUCGAGAUAGGA